rnacentral:rRNA from 1 species
UAAGGAAUAUUGGUCAAUGGGCGCAAGCCUGAACCAGCCAUGCCGCGUGCAGGAAGACGGCCCUACGGGUUGUAAACUGCUUUUGUACCGGAAUAAACCCUUUUACGUGUAAGAGGCUGAAUGUACGGUAAGAAUAAGGAUCGGCUAACUCCGUGCCAGCAGCCGCGGUAAUACGGAGGAUCCAAGCGUUAUCCGGAUUUAUUGGGUUUAAAGGGUGCGUAGGUGGCUUUUUAAGUCAGGGGUGAAAGACGGUAGCUUAACUAUCGCAGUGCCUUUGAUACUGAAGAGCUUGAAUGAACUAGAGGUAGGCGGAAUGUGACAAGUAGCGGUGAAAUGCAUAGAUAUGUCACAGAACACCAAUUGCGAAGGCAGCUUACUAUGGUUUUAUUGACACUGAGGCACGAAAGCGUGGGGAUCAAACAGG